ACACUGUAUGUCUGCGAUCCUGGCAGUGUAGAGAAUCAGUGAGCAUGUGGGCAUGUGAUACUGGUGGACCUCUUCCAUGAAUGCCUCUAAUACUUUGAGACACAGUUCAUUUCACUCUAAGGUCCCAUACCUGUCAGAACUCACAGCAUAGUUAACAGCAGGCCUGUGGUUUCUAGAAGAGGCAAUGGCAACAGUGGCCCCUGGCUCCUUCAGUGGUGGUGGCAGAGACCCAUGAGGUGACCAAAACCAGCUGUUGUGGUGACUCAGCCCACAACACCCAUCAAGCACCCUCCUGGAACACGGUAGACCAAAGAUGCUCAAUAAAAGCAGCACAGCUGAAUGACUGAAUUCAGAGAGGCAUUUAGGAGCAAUUGGUAUCAAAGUCACUGCAAAUAUUGAGUAGCAAUGCAAGAACCUUCCAAGUGUCAUUCCUCAUCUCUUCCCUGUGAGAAAAGAAAAAUAGCUGAAAGCAGCCUGAGCUCUGUGAGGCAUGCAAAAUUUAUCAGGUCCAGGGACACAUGAGUGUGGGACCUCAGUCACGCCCACUGUCCCCCACCAUCCCCAUGACCAGGGGCAAGUGUUUAAAGGUGUUUUGGUCUUGACUAGCUGCCUUGCCUAUUAUCUUCAUGUUCCUGGCAUUUGUGAUACAAAGCACAAUGCAUAGCUAAUUAAUAGCUUAUGUUAUUUUGAUGCAACUUCUUGGCAAACAACUUAGGAACUGCCUCUUUAAAAACUCACAUGUAACUGCUGCUAACUAAUCUCAGCACAUAGUCAGGGCAACCUGAAUCUAUGCACCCAAAUUGUAGUCCUCAAAUCUGGCC
rnacentral:lncRNA from 10 species